rnacentral:rRNA from 1 species
GACGAACGCUGGCGGCGUGCUUAACACAUGCAAGUCGAACGGAAAGGCCCUGCUUUUGUGGGGUGCUCGAGUGGCGAACGGGUGAGUAACACGUGAGUAACCUGCCCUUGACUUUGGGAUAACUUCAGGAAACUGGGGCUAAUACCGGAUAGGAGCUCCUGCUGCAUGGUGGGGGUUGGAAAGUUUCGGCGGUUGGGGAUGGACUCGCGGCUUAUCAGCUUGUUGGUGGGGUAGUGGCUUACCAAGGCUUUGACGGGUAGCCGGCCUGAGAGGGUGACCGGCCACAAUGGGACUGAGGUACGGCCCAGACUCCUACGGGAGGCAGCAGUGGGGAAUAUUGCACAAUGGGCGGGAGCCUGAUGCAGCAACGCCGCGUGCGGGAUGACGGCCUUCGGGUUGUAAACCGCUUUCGCCUGUGACGAAGCGUGAGUGACGGUAAUGGGUAAAGAAGCACCGGCUAACUACGUG